UUACGACCAUAUCAUGAGGAAACACUUGUUUCCGUCUGAUCACUGAAGUUAAGCAACAUCAAGCCUGGUCAAUACCUAGAUGGGUAACUGAUGGGAAUGCCAGGUGCUGUAAG